CCUCGCCGCACUCCCAUCUCCUCCCCGUACCCCGCCCGCAUCACCAUCGCCGCGCCAUGGCCGACGCCGACGAGCUGGCCGCCGCGUGCCAGGACUCUGACGACGCCGCCGGCACCAGCAACCUCUUCCAGGUCAUGCGCGUCAUCAAGGACGCCGAGGCCACCAUCCGCCACCAGCUUGAGGAGAACAGCCGGCUCAAGGAGGAGCUGAUGCGCAAGACCCGAGAGCUCGACAGAAUCCUUUCUCCUCGAACCAUCGUCAUGAACCAAUCAACUAUUUGAGAAUUAAAGAUGCGUUGCAGGAAAAUGAUGGGGCAACAUAUAAUGAGGAGUGGCAGGUUGUAACUGAAUUAGAAGCAGCAGAUUCAUAAAGUAUGGGUGCAGGCAGCAUCAAUUGGAAAAUGUUAAGUAAGCCGUAACCUUCUCUCUUUUUUCUACUCGGUGAUAUGCGCUUGGUUGCAGCUACUGUACUGAUUACAAAAAAACAUGAGCAUGGUAGAUACUGAUUACAAAAGGUUUCUUCGUUCUUUCAUGUUGGAGACAGUGACAGUACCUUAUCGAUUAAAUUACAUUCUUUCCUUUUAGAAAGUAGUGUAUACUCUCUAGCUACUUAAUGUUCUGUUUCUUGGUUGUAGUUUAUUUACCAUUUGUAACUUCAAAAUGAUAUGUCAGACAUGCUCUAAUUUUUUUAUGCCAUCAGAGAUUUCAGCUCAUAUUACUUCCUUUAUGUUUAUGGUUGGGUAGUGAUGCUUUACUGAUUAGGUAUUCUCAUCAUAUCUCAAUCUACUGUUACAAAUAUUAUUUGAUUUCUUUCUCUCAUAAACAGGGAACAAGUUGCCCAUUCUAAUUGAUCUGUGUUGUAUCUACAUGGUGCAGUGGUGUGUUUUGUAGAAUAUGUACAGUCGCACUUUGUUGUAUCUAUAUUGUUGUUGGUCCUUGAUUUAAUCUGGUUAUAAGAGUAAGUCGCACUUUGACCCGCUCCCCGCAAUGGAUUUAGCUAGGCUAUCUGUUUCAUUGCUUGGUUUUCUGCCUGUUAAAGAGAAGCUUAGGUCUAUAUAGAUUCUUGAGGUAAUAUCCAUGGUUUCUCAUAGUUUAGUUACAUAUGAUUUCUGGGUUCUAACUCCUUCAUGUUAUUUUCAUUAUUUCUCCUCUUUGUACCAUCAUUUAUUUCAAUUUUCGACAUAAGGACGGCUUUGGUGGCUUCAAAAUAUGCAUGACCAUAUUUACUUGCGCUUUGUUUAUAUAUGAUUGCUGUUAGAUUCUUCUAGAAACUUUGUUGUUACAUUAGCGGUCUAGCUAGAUUGCAAGGAAGGGGCUGUAUCUUUCCUUGCUUUGUUUGUUUGAUCCUGGACGCCUUGUUUGAUCCUGGUAGAUGGGCAUCAGUAGGUGAACUAAUUGAUUCUGAUUUCAUAGGAUUGUGCAUGCUUCUCUUGUGGGCAUUCUUUUCAUUAUAUUAUUAGUUUUAUCCUGCUCCUGAUUUUGCUAUUGGCUGCGUUUUUCAGUUAGUGUCCUGUUGUUGAUCGGUGAUCUGUCGCUGAUUGUUGCUGCCGCUCGGUUGAUAAGUUACAAUUCAUGUUUUUUCUACCCCUACUUGUUUGUGAGGAGACAGUGCUCGGAGGAGGCUGGACGCAUGGGGCAACUCGCGGAAAAGGCCGGACACAUGGAUGCAGCGUGUCGAGCUCAGUUGCAGCGACAAGCUGUGCUACUGCCUCGGCUGCAACCUCAUAGCAGUAAACCUCCAUGGAUGAGGACGACCACUGGUACCUACACAAUGAUGUCGACUCCCCGCACAUGGCCGAGCUAGAUGGAACAACGAUGCCUUGGUCGGACGCCGUGGUCAUGGGUGGCCUCCUCCGUUGUUCCCCAUUCGAUAUGGCGCUUGCAUGGAAAAAAAUCAUUGUUAUGCAUUAUUCUUAGUGGCAAUGCUUCUGCAAAUCAACUUAUUCUAGAUGCUGGUGUCGUGAUGGUGGUUCGCCCAUUACAUGUUGGAUAAUUCUAGAUUUUAUAGAAAGAAUAAAAGAUUUUAUGGACCUGUUUAGAGGAAGAUGCCAAGCCAUGCACAAGCAUAGAGCUCCGUAUCACUGAUCCAUAAGAAGCUGGUAAUGGAAAAUCUCAGUGGUGCGCCAUUUGAGGCUGGUGAUAAAGUGGAGACAUUGAAACCCUUUUAUAAGGGCUUAGUGCCCAGGAGAUCUCUCUAUGAUUUGGUUGAGUAUAGUUGGUUGACCAUCGGAUUGUAGUUUGGUGUUCUGUGGGCACCUAUACCAUUUAUAUAUUCUAAGAGGCUCCAAAAUCUGAAGAAAGAGGUGGCUACAGGAUGCCAAGCAUCGCAAGACUGAGGUGGCUAACACAAUGGAGCUCCUCCCGUAUGCUUAGUGGUUAUGGCUCCACAAUUGGCUCUCCUUUAUUAUCUUCUUGUUCUUAUUACCUUUUAUGUAUUCUUGCUUUUGGUAUCGAAUUUUAUGUUGAGUGGCCAUCUUUUAUGGUCUUAUGAACACACUUAGUUUAUCCUGCCUUAUAAUCUAAUGUCGGUAUUGAGAUUCAUUGUGUUGUACUUCUAUCUAAA